CAACACUCCCCCCCCCCCCUGUUUUUCCAAAACCGACCCCCCCCCCCUUGUCGAGACGCCGAUUUUGUUUACAUAAUCAGCUGAUUCCGUUAGAGCACGUGGCAGCAGUCUGAGCCAAGGUACUGUAUUUCACAAUGGAUAUUCCACGUUCAAGUAUUGCAGUGACCUUGCUGGCAGCUGUAGCAGUGACCUUAGUUUUCAAGUUUUGGUCAUCUUGGAGGAGUUCAAGAGCAUCCAGAAUUAUGAGGCCACGCGUGAAGAAUUUGGAAGAAUUAAAGGACAGAAGCUGGCAGCUUGUUGGAAAAGUCUCCAAGGUAUAUCUGUAUCCCAUUAAAUCUUGUGCAGGGAUAGGCCUGGCCUCUGCUCAGGCUACUCAACUUGGCCUCAGCAGUGGCACCGUCAGAGAUCGAUCAUUGAUCAUAAUGAAUGAAAAGGGUGUGAUGGUGACAGGGAGGAUGAUCCCAGCUACAGUAAAGAUAAAAGCUCGUGUUGAUGAUGGUAUUCUCACACUCGAGUUUCCAGGUGCUCCAUCGUUCUCUAUUCUACUGUCACAAGUUGAGGAAAAGAACAUACGGAAAACUACAAGGGUAUGGGAUGACACAGUCCCUGGCCUCGACUGUGGAGAUGAGGCAGCAUCUUGGCUGAUGGAAGUUUUGGGUCGAAAGUGUCGCCUUCUUUAUCAUGGCAGCAUCCCUUCCCCAAGGAAUACUGACUUGGGGGAGGAAUAUCCACUCCUACGAGAUGAUGAUAAUUCCUUAUAUGCAGAUUUGACUGGAUACAUGCUAAUGACAAGGGAAUCCAUCGGAGAUCUAGAGACCAGAGUGAAGACUCAUUUACCGCCUCAGAAUUUCCGUCCAAACAUCCUGGUGGAGGGUACUAAGGGUCCUUAUGAUGAGGACUUGUGGGAAUAUAUCAGGAUUGGCAAUACUCUUUUCAGAAAUGUUAAGCCUUGCUCCAGAUGACCUUGAUAUAGCAGUCACAAUGAUGCAUUUUCACAACAAUAGACUAUGAGACUGGAAAGAAGGAUGCUAACAUGGAACCACUGCGCACUCUUAGGAGUUACAGAUGUGUAGAAG
rnacentral:misc_RNA from 1 species